UUAUAUAUGUAUAAUUGUAUAAACGUUAAGCCCAUCGUCUCAUAAACCAAACCGCCAGAAGCCGAGUUGAGAGAGAGAGAGAGUACAGUGUGAGAAGUCUUCCAUUAUCAACUGGCUUCGCUUUGAAAUCACCCAAAUUUAGGGUUUCCACCGUCAGAUGCUCCUCUGCUUCUCUCUACAUGGACGGUGCUGCCCUUGGUAACACACCCGUGUAUAUGCCUGUAAACGAAUGCUUGGGAGAAAGACCUUGGAAGGUAGCAGAUGCCAGACUUGUCCUGGAAGAUGGUUCUAUUUAGAGGGCAAAGUCAUUUGGUGUUUCAGGAACCCAAGUUGGUGAAGUGGUUUUCAAUACAUCUUUAACGGGGACACGGGAAAGAAGUGGCGGAUGACGUUCUUCUAAUAUUUUUGGAUUAGAAGAUCAUUUUGCUAUUUUUGUAUCUAAGUCCCAUCAUGUUUUUGUAAAACCUUAGUUUGUUAUAUUCGGUAUAGAGACUUGUGAACUCUUGUUAUUGUAAUUUUGCUUCAUGGACUGUAAGCUGAUGUAAUUAGAGUAAAAUUCUAGUAUGUGAGCAUAGGACUAUGUAGAAGAUA